rnacentral:rRNA from 1 species
UGCUGCAUGGCUGUCGUCAGCUCGUGUUGUGAAAUGUUGGGUUAAGUCCCGCAACGAGCGCAACCCUUAUCCUUUGUUGCCAGCGGUCCGGCCGGGAACUCAAAGGAGACUGCCAGUGAUAAACUGGAGGAAGGUGGGGAUGACGUCAAGUCAUCAUGGCCCUUACGACCAGGGCUACACACGUGCUACAAUGGCGCAUACAAAGAGAAGCGACCUCGCGAGAGCAAGCGGACCUCAUAAAGUGCGUCGUAGUCCGGAUUGGAGUCUGCAACUCGACUCCAUGAAGUCGGAAUCGCUAGUAAUCGUGGAUCAGAAUGCCACGGUGAAUACGUUCCCGGGCCUUGUACACACCGCCCGUCACACCAUGGGAGUGGGUUGCAAAAGAAGUAGGUAGCUUAACCUUCGGGAGGGCGCUUACCACUUUGUGAUUCAUGACUGGGGUGAAGUCGUAACAAGGUAACCGUAGGGGAACCUGCGGUUGGAUCACCUCCUU